rnacentral:rRNA from 1 species
GAAUCUUAGACAAUGGGCGCAAGCCUGAUCUAGCCAUGCCGCGUGAGCGAUGAAGGCCUUAGGGUUGUAAAGCUCUUUCACCGGGGAAGAUAAUGACGGUACCCGGAGAAGAAGCCCCGGCUAACUCCGUGCCAGCAGCCGCGGUAAUACGGAGGGGGCUAGCGUUGUUCGGAAUUACUGGGCGUAAAGGGCUCGUAGGCGGCCAACUAAGUCAGACGUGAAAUCCCUCGGCUUAACCGGGGAACUGCAUCUGAUACUGGAUGGCUUGAGAUUGGGAGAGGGAUGCGGAAUUCCAGGUGUAGCGGUGAAAUGCGUAGAUAUCUGGAGGAACACCGGUGGCGAAGGCGGCAUCCUGGACCAACACUGACGCUGAGGAGCGAAAGCCAGGGGAGCAAACGGG